UACGGGGGGGGCAAGCGUUGUUCGGAAUUACUGGGCGUAAAGGGCUCGUAGGCGGCCAACUAAGUCAGACGUGAAAUCCCUCGGCUUAACCGUGGAACUGCUCGGUAUACUGGCGGUCUUGAGCAACCUAGGGGCGAGCGGAACAAAUGGUGGAGCGGUGAAAUGCGUAGAUAUCAUUUGGAACGCCAAUGGUGAAAACAGCUCGCUGGGGGUUUGCUGACGCUGAGACACGAAAGCCAGGGGAGCAAACGGG
rnacentral:rRNA from 1 species